AGCGUUGUCCGGAAUAUUGGGCGUAAAGAGCUCGUAGGCGGCUUGUCACGUCGGUUGUGAAAGCCCGGGGCUUAACCCCGGGUCUGCAGUCGAUACGGGCAGGCUAGAGUUCGGUAGGGGAGAUCGGAAUUCCUGGUGUAGCGGUGAAAUGCGCAGAUAUCAGGAGGAACACCGUUGGCGAAGGCGGAUCUCUGGGCCGAUACUGACGCUGAGGAGCGAAAGCGUGGGGAGCGAACAGGAUUAGAUACCCUGGUAGUCCACGCCGUAAACGGUGGGCACUAGGUGUGGGCAACAUUCCACGUUGUCCGUGCCGCAGCUAACGCAUUAAGUGCCCCGCCUGGGGAGUACGGCCGCAAGGCUAAAACUCAAAUGAAUUGACGGGGGCCCGCACAAGCGGCGGAGCAUGUGGCUUAAUUCGACGCAACGCGAAGAACCUUACCAAGGCUUGACAUACACCGGAAACGUCUGGAGACAGGCGCCCCCUUGUGGUCGGUGUACAGGUGGUGCAUGGCUGUCGUCAGCUCGUGUCGUGAGAUGUUGGGUUAAGUCCCGCAACGAGCGCAACCCUUGUCCCGUGUUGCCAGCAGGCCCUUGUGGUGCUGGGGACUCACGGGAGACCGCCGGGGUCAACUCGGAGGAAGGUGGGGACGACGUCAAGUCAUCAUGCCCCUUAUGUCUUGGGCUGCACACGUGCUACAAUGGCCGGUACAAUGAGCUGCGAUACCGUGAGGUGGAGCGAAUCUCAAAAAGCCGGUCUCAGUUCGGAUUGGGGUCUGCAACUCGACCCCAUGAAGUCGGAGUCGCUAGUAAUCGCAGAUCAGCAUUGCUGCG
rnacentral:rRNA from 1 species